rnacentral:rRNA from 1 species
GACAGAGGGUGCAAACGUUGCUCGGAAUUACUGGGCGUAAAGCGCGUGUAGGUGGAUUGGUGUGUCAGAUGUGAAAUCCCUGGGCUCAACCCAGGAACUGCACCUGAAACUACCAGUCUUGAGUGGUGGAGAGGGAAGUGGAAUUCCUGGUGUAGAGGUGAAAUUCGUAGAUAUCAGGAGGAACACCAGUGGCGAAGGCGGCGAUCUGGGUAGAUACUGACGCUGAGGUGCGAAAGCGUGGGGAGCAAACAGG